AUGUGGGGCACUGCCCUCCCUGGCUCUGCCUGGGGCCCCAGCCUGCUCUGCUGUGUCACUGUCUUUCUCCUGGGAACAAGUUCAGCAAAUCCCGGGGUCAUCCAGUCUCCAAGACACGUAAUCAAAGCAAAGGGAGGAAGGUCCAUUCUCAAAUGUAUUCCCAUCUCUGGACAUGACAGUGUGGGCUGGUACCAGCAAUCUCAGGUGAAGGAACUGAAGUUCCUCAUUCAGUAUUAUGAAAAAAUGGAAAGAGAGAAAGGAAACAUCCCCAACCGAUUCUCAGUCCAGCAGUUCGGUGACUAUCACUCUGAGAUGAACAUGAGCUCCUUGCAGCUGGAGGACUCAGCUGUGUACUUCUGUGCCAGCUCACUACAGCCUUACAGAGAAUCACAGCCAGAAAAGCUUAGGUCUCCUGAAGAAAAGGAGAUUUGUUCUAAUAGUGAGGACACACUGAUGGACCAAGCACAGAAUGUAGAACUUGUGUCUCUGAAUUGGUAUGAGAUAGUUUAA